GAUGAACGCUGGCGGCGUGCCUAAUACAUGCAAGUCGAGCGAAUGGAUUAAGAGCUUGCUCUUAUGAAGUUAGCGGCGGACGGGUGAGUAACACGUGGGUAACCUGCCCAUAAGACUGGGAUAACUCCGGGAAACCGGGGCUAAUACCGGAUAACAUUUUGAACCGCAUGGUUCGAAAUUGAAAGGCGGCUUAGGCUGUCACUUAUGGAUGUACCCGCGUCGCAUUAGCUAGUUGGUGAGGUAACGGCUCAACAAGGCAACGAUGCGUAGCCGACCGGAGAGGGUGAUCGGCCACACUGGGACUGAGACACGGCCCAGACUCCUACGGGAGGCAGCAGUAGGGAAUCUUCCGCAAUGGACGAAAGUCUGACGGAGCAACGCCGCGUGAGUGAUGAAGGCUUUCGGGUCGUAAAACUCUGUUGUUAGGGAAGAACAAGUGCUAGUUGAAUAAGCUGGCACCUUGACGGUACCUAACCAGAAAGCCACGGCUAACUACGUGCCAGCCGCCGCGGUAA
rnacentral:rRNA from 1 species